UUUCUGUAAAGCAAAAGAAAUCUGUGUUCAUAGGCUUUUCUAUAUUAGGUUAUUAGAAAAAUAAACACACUUCAGGGCAUGAGCUCAGUCACUAAACACAAACAGAAACAAAGAUUCUUUUUUUUUUAAACUCAGACAAUGCUUAUUUUACAGCAGAAUUGACAAAUAAAGCUUUAUUUUACACAUUCAAAAAAAAAAAAGCCAUCACCAGAGGUUUAUACCUCUGUUUUGUGUGCUUCUUUCCAAAACAGCAAAAUAGAUAUCCUCCCAUCAAACCCUCCUUCCCUCCCUCAGGGCCACAUGUGGCUGGUGUGGCUUUUUCUCUUCUGCAGACACAGAAACUGGCAGCCCUGGUCCCUCCUGAGUGAACCCUCCUCAAGGGAAGAGUGCCAAAUUCCAAACACAGGAAAACAGGCACAUUAAUAACAACACUGUGCAUUUCUGUGUCAUUUCAUUUAUUGCUCACUGAGUUAUAACCACCUUGGCUCUCCGCAGAAAACAAAGGAUGCCCACCUGGAGAUCAACCACCUGUGGGUCACAAGGUGCAAAGGGCAGCCCUGGCCAGAUUCCAGCUGGAGCCUGAUAGCAUCCUGAAUAGAAACUCAAAUGUCCUGGCUUGUAGCCAGCCUGCAAGACACCACUUCUGGUCACCAUGGGGAAUGAAACCUGGAGAAAGAACUUUAUGAUUUGUACUCAGAGAUGUUCCCCAUCAUAGAGGGGUGAUUUUUCCAGUCAUUCUAUCCAGUGGUGUUCUUCCCAAAGUGAUGGACUCUUGGCUCAGCAACAGGACUUCGAUGAGAAACAGAAGAAAUAGGGGACCUUGUCCUACCCAAGGCUGCUGUUUCAUCAGGAUUUCUUUACUUCAUUUCAGAUCAUCAGUACCCCAAAUUAAUACCCACAAUUCAGGCCAGCUUCAUAAGAAAUGCAAAUUUCCAUCUCAUUCUGGGGUACAUGAUUUUUUUUUGGAUGCCUUCAGUAAAAGAUUUUACCAAGGUGAACUGCUGUGAAGUCAUUUUUGCCUAAGAGGAUCAUCAUGCAAGCAAACUAAUUCUUUUCCUAAGCUACUAUUUGGCAGCUUGCAGAAGACUUGGCUUCACCUUGAGAAACCAUCCUUGGAGUGAUCAGAAGAAAAGGAUAAAGAUUCUUCCUUUAUUCAUCCUCCUUGCUCUCAUUCAGAUGGCAAGCCUGGCUCACGUGUUUGAAGAAGAUGCUACCAUUUAUUACAUACCUACUAUGUGUCAGUCAUUUCAUAUUUAUUCUACAUCAUGACUUAAUCCCCACAACUCCUUUAAGCUGAGUGCCACUUCCUCUUUUUGAAGGUGAGAAGACUAAGGCUUAAAUUAGCUAACUCAAUAGCAUAUAAUCAUACAGCUGUUAGAGACAGAAUCUGAAUCCUGAAAAAUAAAACCAAAUUAGGGGGCAACAGAGCUUUGUUUGACAUUAAUGUACAGGGGAUUUCGCUCAUGGUAGUGAUGUGUUCUGACUGAAACAAGGCUGUCAAAAUAGUGUCUUCUAGUAGCUGACUGUGAGCCUUAAGGCCAUAUUUUAGGGAAGAGUGUGGUGCAAGUGCUAGAGUGGGUUAGAACCCUUUUGUAGACUUUCGUGUCCCUCAUCACUAAGAUCCAAUGCCUUAAUAGAAAUCUAAUAACUCAAAGUUCAAAAGCUACAAAGGAAAAGUCUAUUGACUCACCUAGAAACAUACAGCAUAUCUUGAAAUCUCAUUUUCCAAGAAAAGUGCUGUCAUAGAAUAUUCUAGGAUCUGAAUAAGAAUUUGAAUGUUGUUGGUAGAAUGAAGACCAAAAGAAAAUGAAGACUAUAAGCAUUUAAAAAAAAAUAGCUUUGAAAUUUUGCCUUGGAAUGAUCCAGGUAAGCACAGCCAUUUUGUAAUAGUUGCUAUAAAGAGAAAAAUUCUGUUUUAAAAAUCUCACAUUCAGUUUCCACCACCAUCCGGUCAUGACCUAAGGAAAUUCUACAGUCAUUCUCAUCUUCAUGAAUUAAUGUGACACAAAGGUUGGAAGUUCACACUGAGCAAACAAGUAUAAUUUCACUUUUAUAAACUGCAAAGAUGAACACUUCUCAAAUUAAAAUGAGCUUGAAGCAUAGCACCUCUGUGUCAUAGUAAAAAGACCAAAUGAAUCCUCAGCUGAGCUGUCUUCAGUCAUGAUUACAUCAUUAGAUGAGACUAGAUGAGAGGUUUUUUUUUUUUCAACUUAUAGUAAAUGUGGUAUUUUAAGAACUUAAUCCCAUAAUGAGUGAAAAUAUCAUUGGUUUCCUUUUUAUAGUCAGCAUAAUUAUUUGGAUCCUUUCUGAACACAUAGAAGUAAUGACAAAUUAAAAUACCUUUCAAUUCCAUAUAGCUUUUAUAAUUAUUCAUGCAUUACUGUUAUCAUUGCUGGAAUGGAUCCUUCAGAUUUUAGUCAGCAUUCCAUUUGAAACAAAAGAACAUGGAAAAUUUUAUAGCUAUUAAUAAAUAUGCAGCCAUCCAAUCUAAGAGGAAAAUUCUUUUUCAUCUGAGAGAUAAACUGCAUAAUUCAUGUAUUCUCAGAAAUUUCUUUAAAUAGAAAAUUGAAGAAAAGCAUGAGAAAAAAAUUGUUAUAUUGUUUCUAUUUGCAGUAAGGGACAAUCUUUGUUCUCUAAGUCUUAAAUCUGAUUUGAUUGACAGGUACAAUUUCAGCUGCAUCCUAUAUACGCCAGUCACAUAGUCCAUCCACCAAAUGUUCUAUAUAACAAUAAACAUUAUGCCCACGUGACCUCUGUUUCAUUUUUGCAUAUUUACCAAAAAAAAGUAACUAGAUGUUAAGAGAGACUUUAUUAGUAUCAUGGAAUGUAAUUAGAAAAAAAAUAGAGCCAUUUUGAAUGGAUACCAACAUUCCACUAAAAGAGAAGUUUCCGUGUCAGGGAAUUAUGGAGCUGCAUCUAAUUUCUGUGAACUCCAGACCCCACUGGAGCUCUAGCCCUACAGGGAUGUGAUGGCCUGCAGGACAAGUCAGAUGAGAAUCACACCUGCAAAACCAAGCCCAAUUCUUACAAGGCAACCACUGAGAGGGUUCAAAGUGGUAUCCCAGGAAUUUCUCUGCAGAGAAGAGGCAUUGCAAUGUUGUCAGAGAGCUCAGAGUUUAUGUGCUAACCAGCACCCACUACAAACACAGCCAAAACUUUCAGCAGAUGUCCAUAUUCACUACUGAAAGCUGUCAGCACAUUUUGUCAACACAGCCAAAUUCUCUUAUAAAUGUGCUGAUAGGCCAAAGAAGAGGCUAGAGAAAACCAACGUAUGAGCACGGAAAGGCUCUUAGUGGCUGUGGUCAGUGUGACAAUCUCCAGGGCAUCCAGGUGUGGAUCAAAGUCCUCUACGGAGGACAUCAAUAUCAAUAGUAUCUGCAUAAGACUAACUAAAUGAUGUGGGAACAACUCAUCCAUGAGUAGGAAUCAUCUUACUAAAAACCCGCCAUGAUCUCCCACUCCUUAUGAAGGUAUCCUCCCGAUUGCCCCAUGAUGCAAAGUGAGGUACACUGCUGUGGGGUGUCACUGGAUACUACCUGAGUCCUGUAAUCCACAGAAAAUUCCUUCACCUCUCUGAGCCUCAGUCCUCUAACUUCUAAAUUGGGGGUUAGACAUCUACUGCAUAGGACAUUUGUGAAGUAUAAAGGAGUUAAUGAAUGUCCUUUGUUAGUGGGAAAAUUAGUGAUAAAUAAAGCUAUCCAGAUAGAAAUCUAGAAUUUUAACUUUGUAUUAUCAUAUAAAUUUAAUAUAUAACUCUAAUUAAGAUAAGAUAAUUGUAAAGGUCAGGCGAGCAUCAGAGGAAGAGACCACCAAGAGACUGUCUCAUGCAACAGCAAAGGGUUUAUUGGGGGUCCAGCAUGUUGGGGCUCACAGCUCACUUGAAUAGAGCAAAGAGCCCUGAGAACAGCUUAAGCAGAGCUUAUAUACUUUCCUUGGAGAGGGCAGGGAGGGAAGUUCAUUGAUGGGUCAGGGCGAGUGGGCGGUUUGCCUGCAACCGGGUGAGGGAAUACAUUCUGCAGUUUGGCAGUUGGGGACAGCACAUUCUGGGAACAAGAUUAGCAAACAGUUCUCAAGAUUAUUAACCUUUCAUAAUGAGAUAACACAUUAGCCAAAUAAAACAUCAUCAAUGAUUUGUUUACAUGAAGAAUCUCUGUCAUCAUGGACUUCCAAGUUUCCAAGGAAUCAAAUAUAUUUGAGCUAUUGAGAACAAGACACUUGUCAGAUUGGAGGUGCUGGACACUUUGGCCUAGGAAGAUGGGAAAUGUAAAGAUCAAUGAAACCAGUGGUGGAGUGGGCAGGGCACAGAAGAACAGAGAGGCAUCACAGAGAAGGUUCAGAUAUUGUGGGAGGGGUUGCUUGAAUAAAUUUUCUGCUUUGCAA